rnacentral:rRNA from 1 species
CCUACGGGAGGCAGCAGUGAGGAAUAUUGGUCAAUGGACGAGAGUCUGAUCCAGCCAAGUAGCGUGAAGGAUGACUGCCCUCUGGGUUUUAAACUUCUUUUAUAUGGGGAUAGACCGUUCCACGUAUGGGCUUUUGUAUGUACCAUAUGAGUAAGGAUCGGCUAACUCCGUGCCAGCAGCCGCGGUAAUACGGAGGAUCCGAGCGUUAUCCGGAUUUAUUGGGUUUAAAGGGAGCGUAGGCGGGUUGUUAAGUCAGUUGUGAAAGUUUGCGGCUCAACCGGAAAAUUGCAGUUGAAACUGGCAGGCUUGAGUACAGUAGAGGUGGGUGGAAUUCGUGGUGUAGCGGUGAAAUGCUUAGAUAUCACGAAGAACUCCGAUUGCGAAGGCAGUUCACUGGACUGCAACUGACACUGAGGUUCGAAAGUGUGGGUAGCAAACAGGAUUAGAUACCCCUGUAGUC